UAUAGGCAACAUUCUUUUACAAAAGGUGCAGAGCUAGCAUGACUAAGCACUGUCAACAAAGCACAGAUGUUAAAGUAAAAGGAACAGAUCUAAUAUGGAGUCAGAUUUGUUCUUUGCUGUUACAAACAUAUGAAUAAAUGAAAUUGAAAUGUAAGUAGAGCAGCUGAGGAUGAAAUGUCCCCUAACUUACUGUCUGCUUUUCUGCCACUUCACUUCCUACACAUAUAUAGAUUUAUCCACACCUCUAAUCUUUGGGUCUUUUUUUAAAGUAUUAUUGAAAAUGCUUCUCUUCUCUUAGAAUUUUUCUAAUCCAAAUAAAAAACACACUGAUGAAGCUAGCAUUCCAAAGGAAAUAUAUUCAUCAUAUAAAAAGAGAACUCCAUUAGCAAACACAAACAUCAGCCUUUGUUUGAUAAAAGUUCCAUUCUCAAGAGAACUAAACUUGCCUGCUUUGUGUUAUGCUAACUUUAGCCCCUCAAAGAUACAUCCAUAUCCUAACCUCCCCCAGAUUAUGAAUGUUACCUUAUUUGGGAAAAGAGUCUUUACAGAUGUAAUUAAGGUAAGGCUUGGAAAUCUCAUUGUGGCUCAGCAGUAACCCGAUUAGUAUCCUUGAGGAUAAGGAUGGGGGUUCAAACCCUGGCCCCACUAAGUGGGUUAAGGAUCCUAUAUUUCUGUGAGAUGCAGUGUAGGUUGCAGACAGGGCUUGGAUCCAGCAUUGCUGUGGUUGUGAUGUAGGCCAGCAGCUAUAGCUCCGAUUUGACCCCUAGCCUAGGAACUUCCGUAUGCCAGAAGUGCAGCCCUAAAAAGACAAAAAAAAAAAAGGGUUUAAAAUGAGAGGGUCAUCCUGGAUUAUCUAUGUGGGCCCUAAAUCCAAUGACAGGUGUCGUUACCAAAGACAUCCAGAGGAGGAGGCAAAGUGACCACAGAGGCAGAGAUUAGGUGCAGCCACAAACCGAGAUAUGCCUGGAGCCACUGCAUGCUUGAAGAAUCCUGGAAGGGAUUCUCCUCCAGAGCCUCCGGAGGAAGUAACAGCCCUAUAGCACCUUGAGUUUGGACUUUUAACCACUAGGACUGUGAGAGAAUAAAUGUCUGUUGUUUUAAACCACAUAAAUUGGGGUAAUUUGUUAUGGCAGCCACAGGAAACUAAUACACUGAUGUGUGAGGAUUGUAUUAAAUGCUUCUUAGUUUCAUUAAUGAAGUGUUUUGAGGUGGAUAUGGUUCAUCUCUUUUGUGUAAAUGGAUGAUAAAGAAUAAGAAAAAUAGCUUACCACAGGCAUCUUGAAAUUCCUUUUUUCUUUUAGUAGCUCGAGCUUUACUGUGCCUGCAGAUUAAAUCUGGCAGUCCUGUGGUACUUCCUAGGGAGUGUUAAAUAUUACUCUUCCUAGGUAGUCACUCAGCAGAUCUUUGUUGAAGGUCUGCCCUGGCACAUCACUUUAUUUGGCAUUGCAGAGAGAGAGCAAAGCAGAGGCCUGUUUUUAACUUUCAUGGUUCUGGUUGUUUCAUUCUCUUCAGAUGGACUAUAAUCCCCUGAGUUAAAAACACAGGCCUUGACGUUUGUUAAAUAUCCCUCAAAGCCUUUGGAGGCUGAAUCUGUAGGAAAGGGGCAGAGUGAAUUCUUGUUCAGUAGCUGGUGGAAAACAAGUAGAGUAUGAUUAGCUCCAACAGCAGAUGUCUUGCAGAGAGAGGACAUGAAUUAGGCCACUGUGAUUCCCUCUCACUGUCAAGGAGCUUACAAUCUAACUGCCUGUUUAGAAUCUGAUAACAAGAAUUGGGGUUGGGGAAAUGACCAGGAGGAAUGCCUGAAGAGAGAUUUUAGAGAUCACUGGAGAAAUUGCAAUAGGCAGGUGCCUUAGAAGAAAUGAAAAAUAAUUGCUAUCCCUGAAAUUCUCCCAUACUACACAGUAUGUAGGGUGUCUUGAUUCUGUAAAGAAUAUGCAUGCCAAUUCAUCAAGGUCAAGAGUUUUCCACCUUUAACAUGCAUUAGAAGUAUCCAGAAGACUUGUUAGAACACAGAUUGUGAGGCCCCACCUCCAGAAUUUCUGAUAUAGGGGGUCUGGGAUGGGGCAAAAAAAUUUGCAUGUGUAACAAGUAACCUGUUGAGGAGUUCCUGUUGUGGCUCAGUGAUUAACACACCCGACUAGCAUCCAUGAGGACUCAGGUUUGAUCCCUGGCCUAGCUCAGUGGGUUAAGGAUCUGGCGUUGCCAUGAGCUGUGGUGUAGAUCUCAGACGCUGCUCAGAUCCCGCAUUGCUAUAGCUCUGGCGUAGGCCGGCGGCUACAACUCUGAUUGGGCCCCUAGCCUGGGAACCUCCAUAUGCCAUCGGUGCGGCCCUAAUAGACAAAAACAAACAAACAAACAAACAAGUAACCAGUUGAUGCUGAUGCUACUGGUCCAGGGACCACACUCUGAGAACCACUGGUUGCAGAAAUUCCUGAGUGAAGUACAUCCUCACCUAUUAAAUUGGUUUGCUUUUUGGCAGUUAUUUGCAAUUAUUCCUUGCACCCUGAAAGAAAUAUCACUACCUUGUUUUUAUGCUAAAGCCCUCAGUAUAUUUUUAGCAGCAGAUAAGCUUAUUUGGUGACAACUUGGGACCAAACAAUGACCUUCUGCAAUGAGGACUCUAGCAAGCAUGCUAUGCUUUAAUCAAGUAGAGGGCACACCUACUUCAUGCUUCCUACAUCCAUACAGUAACUAAGCUAUCAAUCCUCUGCAAAUCUGACACUUGCAGUGGUUUUUCCCUUAAAGGUCCCAUCAGGAACCUUUAGCUCCCUAGCAGGCCGUUCUAAUACCAUGGAAGGUGACUCUCUCAGCUAAAUAGCUAACUGAUCCAAGUACAUUGAGUUAAAACUGAACCUACAUCUUAUUCCUUCUCUGAUCUGUCCAAUGAAAAUUAAUCUCUCUCUGGUUCCUCACUAUAUAAUUUGAAGGGAAGGCUAAUUAAAAUGUUCCUGAAGCUGUUUCUAAGUGACACUGUAACUAUUUCUAAGUAAUCCACAGAAUUCUGUUAGGAUAUUUAGUAUCAGAUAAGCUGCUCAUCUAAUUUCUCAUUAAGCAUGCUUUGUUAUUUCAAGCCAGAGUUAGUCAUGUGACAAUGACAAGUUUAAGAAAGCAAGGUAGAUAAGAAUGGUUCCUGAUGCUUGUUGAGGCAGAGGUUAAGCCUUGAAUUGAAUCUUCUCACAUACCCAAACUUGGGUGAAAGGAGAGACAAAAGUCUUGGGUUGCAUUGUAGGCAGCACAAAACUGAUCUUGAGCCAUAGGUGGCCAGCAGAGGAGUUGUCCCUCACAGGAAGGGAGAUGUGCUAAACACCAAUGAUAUUACUUUUGGGUAUGUGCACUGAGGGUUUCCAAGCCUGAUGGAUAUAUAUUCUAAUUUAAAAUACCACAGGGAAGAAAAAAAUAGAUGUUCCCAUGGAAACAUUUUCCCAGAGCCAGCUCUUCUGACUCAUUAUCAUAUUUUAUUUAAAUAUUUCCUAGAAUCAGUUUAAACUUAAUCUUUCAAUGGCCAUGAUACCAUAACAUCUGGUCAAAUUGCAUAAUUGUGGGCAGUUUUUGAUAAAUUGCAUAAUUGUGGGCAGUUUUUGAUUUCCAUAUGUCUGCUUACAAUAAUUGCAAAUCAAAUAUCACAUGAAAAUUUCAUUAGCAUUCAUUUCCAGAUAUAUAAUUAAAAAUUUUAAGUUGGCUGAACCUCACAUUCCUUCGGGAACCACAGUAGACACCUUUUUGCAGCUGGAUAUAGUACCAUUUGUCACAGGUAUGCUAUUGUAUUUCAAGUGAGCUCCAAUAAGCUUUACUGGGCCUUUAUGCAUGACACUGCCAAAUAUAUGGAUAAAAUGGUCUCAUAAAUUUGCUUUCACAUAUGACAUUAUCAAAGCGACCUCCUAUUUAUUAUUAUUAUUGUUUUUUGUCUUUUUCUUUUUAGGGCCGCACCACGGCAUAUGGAGGUUCCCGGUUAGGGGUCCAAUCGGAGUUCUAGCUGCCUGCCUACACCAAAGCCACAGCAACACCAGAUCCAAGCUGUGUCUGCUACCUACACCACAGCUCACGGCAACACCGGAUCCUUAACCCACUGAACGAGACCAGGGAUCAAACCUGCAACCUCAUAGUUCUUAGUCGGAUUCAUUUCUGCUGCGCCACAGCAGGAACUCCCUAUUUAUUAUUCUUUAUUAUUCUCAGAAAAACUACAUCCCCUAAAUGUAAUGUUUGCAUGUCCCAAUGUGUCCCUUAUCCUCCUUAAAGACUUACUUAUAUAAUUCACAGCGCCUUGCAUUCCCUGUGCUCAGGAAUGGGUCCCGUUACUUCUGGCUCUGCAUUGACACCAGCUUGCCACCAGAGGAAAUUCACUCUUCUUUUAUACCUUACCUCCAUCUUUUCUAAUGUGAUCGUUUGAUGGUAUAUACUGGAAACUCAUGGGUUCUCAGUUUUAAAAACUGAUUGUACCGUCAGAAAUCUAAUUUUCUGUAGUACUUUGUACCUGGGCAUGUUGAAUUUCCUUCCUUACAGCAUCAGGAUUUCUAGACAUUCUAUUUGCAUAUGUUUGUUCAAAUGUUUUUGAGGAGUCUUUCAUUACCUCUAAAUAUAUGGAUACAUAUAUCAAGUUACUUAGUUUUAUGCAGCGAUUUUAAAACUCUCAGUAUCCCAGCAUAAUCAGAUCAUCCCCCUUUUUACUGGAAUCAAGAGGAAAUUUACUGUACUUAAUAAAGCAAAAACUUCAGGAGUUCCCGUCAUGGCACAGUGGUUAACGAAUCCAACUAGGAACCAUGAGGUUGUGGGUUCAAUCCCUGCCCUUGCUCAGUGGGUUAAUGAUCCAGCAUUGCCGUGAGCUGUGGUGUAGGUCGUAGAUGUGGCUCGGAUCCUGCGUUGCUGUGGCUCUGGAGUAGGCUGGCAGCUACAGCUCUGAUUAGACCCCAGCCUGGGAACCUCCCAUAUGCUGUGGGAGUGGCCCAAGAAAU
rnacentral:lncRNA from 1 species